CGUCCGCGGCGGAGUGGGAACCAGCGCCGUCGAGUUAGGGGAGCUGCAGGCGGGUGGAUCCGACAACUCCCUGGGAGGCGGACGCAGGCAGACGGGCGGGUACUGGGAACCCCAGCGGCAGGCCGUCCCCGCGGGUCUGUGAAGAAGGUCGGUGGCCCCAGCGGGCGCCAGUCAGCUUUAAGAAAAAAGAAAUCACUUCUGACUGUUCUGAAUAGCAAAAAUUAAGUGACUUUUACUGCAAACCAUGGCACUAUCAUUCCGGAAGGACUUAGAAAAGUACAAGGACCUCGAUGAAGAUGAACUCCUUGGGAAUCUAUCAGAAAUAGAACUGAAACAACUGGAAACUGUUCUCGAUGAUCUUGACCCUGAGAAUGCCCUUCUGCCUGCAGGGUUCCGGCAGAAGAACCAGACAUCAAAGUCUGCCACAGGGCCAUUUGAUAGAGAACACCUCCUUUCGUAUCUGGAGAAGGAAGCUUUGGAGCAUAAGGACCGGGAAGACUAUGUGCCCUACACUGGAGAAAAAAAAGGGAAAAUAUUUAUCCCUAAGCAGAAACCUGUACAGACUUUUACAGAAGAAAAAGUAUCUCUUGAUCCAGAACUAGAAGAAGCUUUGACAAGUGCUUCUGAUACAGAAUUGUGUGAUCUCGCAGCUAUUCUUGGGAUGCACAGUUUGAUAACAAACACACAGCUCUGCACUAUGGUGGGAAGCAGUCAUGGUGUGGACCAAGAACAUUUUUCAAAUGUGGUAAAAGGUGAAAAGAUUCUUCCGGUAUUUGAUGAGCCCCCAAAUCCAACCAAUGUUGAAGAGAGUUUACAGAGAAUUAAAGAAAAUGAUGUUCGUCUUGUUGAAGUUAAUUUGAAUAAUAUAAAGAAUAUCCCAAUUCCAACCCUGAAAGAUUUUGCGAAGGCUUUGGAAGCCAACACACAUGUGAAAUAUUUCAGUCUUGCAGCCACCCGAAGCAAUGACCCCGUUGCUGUUGCUUUUGCAGAUAUGCUGAGAGUGAACAAAAAUUUGAGGAGCUUAAAUAUGGAGUCCAACUUUAUUACAGGAGCUGGGAUUCAAGCACUGGUUGAUGCUUUGAGAGAUAAUGACACACUGGCCGAGCUGAAAAUCGACAAUCAGAGGCAGCAGUUGGGGACGGCUGUAGAAUUGGAAAUGGCCAAGAUGCUUGAGGAAAAUACCAAUAUCCUUAAAUUUGGAUAUCAGUUUACACAGCAGGGACCCCGAACCAGGGCAGCUAAUGCUAUAACAAAAAACAAUGACUUAGUCUCAACUUUUCAUUGAAAUAAUCCUACCUACUCGCCAUCUCCAGCUAAGAAGUAUCACAGCUGUAACAGCAAAGAGGUUAAUAUGGCGUACGUGCUAUAUUCGAUUGAAGUUUGUCUCACUUUACUAUCUUUACAUUAGCUAACUACAUAAUCAAUUUUCUAUACUUUUUCUGUUUGUUUUACUUCUAUCCUGUCAAUCUUGUUUAUAAUAUGCAUUUUUGAAAUAACGUGCAUUUUAACAUCUGAAAUGGUCUGCCAAUAACAUCCAUACACUACUGCAAUUCAAAAUUUUCUUGGAAAUGUUCUACUCUAAAGAAUUAUGUAGUUUGCCUUUCAGAUAUAUCCAUGUUGUUCAGAGAUCUAUACACAUGAAUUAAGUUUGUAUUUGAGGACUCAAUUCUCCUUUGGAUUUCUUCCCCUAAUAUUUCAGUAAACACAUGAAACUUGUUCUUCAUUGAUGUGGACUGAAAUUAGAGUCAGGGUGCAUCUAGUUAGAUAAGUAUAAAAAUGUUCAUGAGGAAGUGAUGCUUCAGUCAUCCUGGUUUUUAUUUUCUGGACAAGCUUUUAUGUACAUCACCUGACUGUCCAGUCUCAUCUGUUGAAGGCCAGUGAACAGAAGCCAGCAGUCAGAACAGCAUGAGAGCAGAAUCCACAGCCUGGCCAGGAGGCCGGUGCACCUGUUGGCUUUUCAUUCCUCUAUUAACAGCCAAUUCAGGCUCAACAAAGGCAAGUGUCUCCUACUUGCUUCCACAGAAGAGAGUAUAGAAAUUAACAGACCAACAAUAUAACUUAGAGGAACUUACUGGUAAGAGUAUCAAAACCAGCAAUGUGUACAUGCAAAUCCUCUAACUUUAUAAAAGCAAAAUUGACUUUCUUCACCCCCAAAAGAUGGCUGACCUCAGGACCAUCCCAUGACAUGACUGUGGUGGGUGAUGAGGCCGAGUACCCUUUAUUGAAUGCUUUCUAUAUUAACACUACACUGAGCAGCCUUUAAUUGCACAGCCGCGAGGUACAGCUAGCAUUAUUCUCCUGUUACAGAGGGUGAGUUGGGGCUGAGAGAGGUACCAUACUUGCCAAAGAGCACACUACAAAGAGCAACAGAUCCCCACUCCGUUGCUGACUCCAGAGCCCAUGCUUGUCGUCCUCUCUGAACAGGAGUUGCCACAGUGCUGAGGAUUGGCUCUGGUGGCUCUCAGCGACUGUUCUCUGGUAGCGGACAGGGGAGGUGAAGGAAGCAAGAUCCUGAUGCUGAAGACCUUGCCCUGCUGCUAGUGAUCACGGCCACGUGGCUCAGGGUCACCAGCCCGGGAAGAGGCUGGGGGGUCCUCAGUUCGCAAGAGACGAGUUGAAGGAGACCACCAGUAAGUCCGCCUCUGUAUAAUUUUUGGAAGACUUCGAAAGGUCACCAAGGGCUCAUAUUGUGAUAUCAGAUGUAAAAUUUUCCUGGGUAGAAGGGAAAAGACUGGAAAUCCUUUUUUUUUUUUUUUAAACUACAUGUAUCUUUUUUCUAGUUUAAGUUGUUACCAGUUUCAAAUUGUAAAAUCAAUAGUAGGUGAUAUUUUGUAUUCUAAAGCAUUAUUUCUACUUUCUGCUAAAAUUAGUUUUAAUUUAGCUUAAUUAAAUGGUUUAUGAUGAGUCUUGGGUUAAAAAAAUACAAUUGUAAAAAAGUUUAGUAAGUCAUUUAUGUAGAAUAACGUAAACAUUUUAAGGACCAAUCUUUUUUAAGUCAAAAAGGGACAUUGCUGAUGUCAGAAAGCUUUCCUUUUCCGUGGCAUGGAGACUUUUCCCUGUUUCAGAACACAUGAACUUGGCAAGAGUGUGCCUUUUGCUUCUAUCAAGAAAGCAAAAUGCUGACAUUUAAAGACAUGUGACUGAAAACUGGGCAUCUGUUUUGGAGUCAAAGCAGAUCUCUAGGAGAGAGGAAGUGGUCUCCUGUACAUUCCUCAGCACUGCACCUGUCCGAGGUGUCUCAGCAACACCUACAGUUUUUUUCAACAAAGUCAUCAGCUUGGCCAGGUGACACACUUUGUUUAAAAGUAUAGUUGAGUCUAAAUUCAUUGCAGUUUUUCAUUUUAAUAAUGUGGGCAUUAUUAACUUUUUGUGAAAGCUCAUAGUAAGAGUAUCUGAGUGGGAAAGCUAUUUUCUUCCCUGUAAAAGGCAAACAGCCAGCUCUCAAUUACUUAGGAUAAAAGAAAAAAGAAAGCUGUUGUUAAACACAUGAAAUCAAAGUUAAGAAAUGGUGGAGAUUAAGUCUGAGGAGCAUGCAAAACGGUCCUUUAAAUUGAUGUUACUGUAAAGUAAAUUAGAAACUGGCCUGGGUAUAAAUUAAGAGUUGCACAGGAUAGUGAGGUGUUCCUAUAUGCAACGCAGAAUUGUCUGAACUACAGAUUUUCCAACCAAUAGGAAAAUGGCUGUUGUUGACAAAUAUAACUUUUAUCAUCUGUUUCCUGUCAUCUUGUACUUUUUGGUCUACAUUGCAUAAAAGCAAUUUCUCAUAACAAAAGUUGUCUUCCUAUCACUCAAAGUAUUAAAGUACAUAGUUGAACAGUGUACUGUGGUGGGAAGACUGUUCCAGAUCCGAUAGUGUGGUAGACUAUUUGGACCUGUAUUCAUGCCCAUGUUUCAGGGCAGCCGCUGGAGCAGGAGAUGUCAGAGGCGUUCCAGCUACAGAAGACAGGGGACAAAGGAAUCUGAGCAAUCCUGGCCCCAACAACUCAGGCCCAGGUGUAUCACAUAAGGGAGAGUUUUCUAAAGGGAGGAAUCUCCUUCCAGAAUAGGGGAAGAGGUCUGUUGUUAAUUUUUUUUAAAACUUCUUGAAAUUGAAUUAUAAAAUGUGUGCUCCUUUGCCUUGGGCUGGACAGUUUAUCUAAUGAGCUAGGCAGCUCCUUCAUAAGGACUGAGUGUGUGUGGUGUUUUUUUUUUGGAAUCAGUAUCCAGUGUUUGAAAGGGAUCAAUGAUUGACUUUGCACUGUUCCGAUAUUCCCUUUCAGUUAUAGGGUGCUGGAGGUUUUUUUCAAGUUAGCAAGUCAAGCUCGCUCUCACUCGCUCUCUCCCUCUCUCCUUUUCAUAAAUGACUUUGGAAAUGUACUUGAUUUUAGAGACUGCACAGUUCCAGCAGGGUGGGGAGUCAGCAUGGAGCAGGUGUACACAGCUACCAGUACACUUUUAGCAAGGCUUCCUUGCCUGCCCUGCAAGUCAGUAAAUUGAUAAGUAUGUUACCCUUUGCUCCCAAAAAUUCUUUUUGAAGUAUAGGUAGGUGGGACCCUACCUAGAAUUGUAUAUUAUACUUCUGGGUAAUAUGUUUUUCACUAAUCAAAGUUUGAAGAAGUUGAGUGUUCUGCUUGUACCAUUCCAGUUCUGAGCUACAAUAGUUCAUUAUAUAAUUUAAAAAAAGAUUUCUUAAGAAGAGUGAACAUUUAUCUGAUUGAAUACAGAAAAUCUUUCAAGAAUUGUAAUUACAAGGGAGAAAACCGAUGUUUACUUUGAUCUUUAAAAAUCUGGCACAUCUUACCCUUUUAGUAACUUUCAGUAUUUCUUUAUUGAUCUAAAAUUUUAUAAUAUUGAUAGAUUAGAAUUGUGAAAUAGUCUUGAUUUUUAAACCAAAGAUUUUCUAAGACUUUUAAGUUUUUGUAGUGUAACUGGUAUAAACUUAAUCUGGUUAUCUAAGCAAAGGCUAGUCUUUGCAUUUUUAAAUUACUGUUUUUAAAAAACCUUUUAAUUUCCCAUUUUAUAAAAUUUUAUAUUCAUAUUUGUUGGAAGUUCUAAUUUUUCCAGUUUGUCUACAUGAAAUUAUAUGUAUUAAAAAUCAAUAUUAAUAAUAUUGAUAUUAUUAAAAUGGAUUUUGGUGCUAUAUUCUCGUAGCUAAAGCCUAGUAGAAGUCUAAAGUAUAGGUGAAAUACAUUUUCUAAGGGUGCCUGUCAUUUAAAAGACCAAAUAAACAUUUUGUGUUUAAAAAAAAUUAGCAGACUAUUAGAGAUUUUAAGGAGAAUUAUCUUUGUUGUUAAAUUGCAAAUUCUCGUUAUUUGAAUGAAAUAACCCACGUACUUGCUUUGUGCAGUAGGUGCCCUCUGGAAAAGUUCCAUGUAUAGAGCUUUGUAAAUUGUUUUUCCAUUGACAGUAUCUUUUUCAUUUAAAAAGGGGAGUCUCGGGGGGACUCGAGGGGGGAGAGUCAAGGAAGGGAGGGAAUACGGGGAUAUGUGUAUAAAAACAGAUGAUUGAACCUGAUGUACCCCCCCCCCAAAAAAUAAAAUUAAAAAAAAAAAAAAAAGGGGGGGAGUCCAUGGUAUAAUGAAAAUUAUAAAAGAAAAAAUGUUUUGAUAAAAUGUUAGUCAUGUUCUGUUGUACAUUAUUUUAACCUUUGCCGCCAUUAAAAUAAGAUUAAAUGAUU